GUACUGCUGAAGAGUCCCAAGCUAGAUUGACGAAACAACCGUCCAGUAC
rfam:Trichobilharzia regenti genome assembly, scaffold: TRE_scaffold0001423